AGUGUCCCUCAACAAAGCUUUGUCAGGGGAGAGAAACAUCGCUCCAUUUACAGGGUGGAUUUGUCCUGGAGAACUAGUGAACGCUCAGAAUAAGGGCCUGGCAUUUGAAAUCCUAGAGUUUAUCAUCACAGAAGCAAGUGUUUUAAGAUUACUUCUGUUGCCCUCAUCUGCAAGAAACUGAACGUGCAUAGCAGAGUUAAAUAUACUGUGUGGGGUUGGAGUAAGGCACGCUGUGGAAGAAAUCAUAGAACCGGAGAUCAUCUGUGCUUUCCAGAACUGUGAGAGGUUUUGGACAGGGCUCCAACCUAUAUUAGCACUGUGUGGUUACUCUUCUGCUACACCUUGGUUUAUAUAAGUAACAUGUGCCUGUAACUUUCUUCCAAAAGGAAACCAUACUUCUUAGAAGAAAAUUCUGACUUUAUGGAAAACAGAACUAUAGUGAGAAGAAUGUGACAUGUUUGCAAAUUUGAGUGUUUUUUUUUUUCUUAAUGAGGGGAAAACUAUUUUAUUGCCUGCUUAACGGUCCACCUGGAACUAAAGGGAUACUACUUUCUAACAAGGUGUAUCUAGUAGGAGAGAAAUCCACCACAAUAAAUAUAUUUGUUAAUAGUUUUU
rnacentral:lncRNA from 1 species